UACAGUAGGCUUGACUUCUCUUUGGUAGU
rnacentral:piRNA from 1 species